rnacentral:lncRNA from 10 species
AGGCGCGCUGCUCGGUGGGGAAUGUACUUGUGGCACUGAGGGGGAUCCUCUGUCCCCGCUGGGUCAUAUCAGUCGGGAUUCGAGCCCCGGUGACCAAUCGACCCGGUUUGUUCGGAACUGACAGGGUUGUCAAGACGCUGGGCUUUCCCUGGCAAACCAAGACGACCUGAUCACGUAGUUAGAACCCAGAGAAAGCAUUACUGGGCGUGAGCCGGUCGGGGCUCCGGUAUUUGCCCUUCGCCCAGGUUGCUGUAGAAAUGGACCUCUACCCGCCCAGAUGUUACCAUUCAUCGCGAAGGGUGUCGUGAAGAUGAAUGCCCUGUCGAACAUCAUCCAGCAGGAGGUCAAGGAAUUUUAACUGAAUGAUUGAAUAGUCUUGCAAGAUCUAUGAAACAAGCUUCGGCUGCUGUAGAGAAACAAAAAUGGGUUCCUGCAAUUCUAAAUAAGAUGUACUGGGUGCUCUGAGAGUUAAUAAGCUAAAAAAUUCAAUGUUUGUUACAAUUAUAGUGUAAACAGAAAGCAUUUCUGAUACAAUAUUAUUUUACUAGAUUCAGAAAAGUAUGAGCCAUGGUCCCUACCACUAAAAAAACUACAACCCAGAACUACAGGACUAAUACACAUGAAACACUAGGAGGUAUCCAAAAUCAUACUUAGUAAAAUGCAAAAUUAUAUUAACACAAGAGCUCCGAGAAAAUGGAGAUCAGUGAAGAAUGAAGGGGUGCAUGGAAAAGCUGGAUUUGAG